GCCCGAUUAGCUCAGUGGUUUAGAGCGUGUGGCUUUUAUCUGCGAACGUCGGUUCCCAACCCCAGGGCGUAGUAAAGGCACCUCAAGGUCGCGAGUUCGACCCUCGCAUCGGGCU